rnacentral:lncRNA from 1 species
CAUGCUUACAUACGUGCGGUAAUUUAUUUCUUAAUAGAUAUUUUCGAAGCAUGUACAAUCAUAAUUUUUUUCAUGAUCGAUCUGAUUAUAGAAGUUUUAUCUCAAAACUAAAGUGAGAUCCGAUUCAUUUGAGGAGUGCGGUGGUUUAGAAUAUGAAAUUUUUAUUUUACCCUCUCUUCAAAUAGAAAUAAGGGCGCAUAUAGUUUUUCAUUGAGGACAUGAUUGGCUAGAAAGAGUUUGAUCGAUUUCAUAAAAAAAUGAAGAUGUUCUAAUAUCUCCAAAUCUAAUCUCUACUUUUUUUUCAUAUUUAAAUUUCGUUUUGAUUUCGCUUACGAAUCAAAUACGCUAAGAGAUAUAUGGCUAUUCCAAUUUUCAUUCUAAUUCCAAUUCUAAUUAUAAACCAAAUACAUCUUUGACUACAAGCUACAUAACUUAGGGAUGGCUUUCUUCUGAUAUGAUAAAGCUCGCC